rnacentral:rRNA from 1 species
UCAAUGCACUAACGUGCGAAGGGGUUACCUCGAGUGCUAUCUGAAGAAGGUGGCUUUUCCAUGGUCUAAAAAGCCUAGGGAAUAAGAGGGGGGCAAGACUGGUGUCAGCCGCCGCGGUAACACCAGCCCCUCGAGUGGUGGGGAUGAUUAUUUGGCCUAAAGCGUCCGUAGCCUGCCGGAUAAGUUUCCCGUUAAAUCCAAUGUCUCAAGCAUUGGACUGCGGGAAAUACUGUCUGGCUAGAGAGUGGGAAAGGUUAGCGGUAUUCUGGGGGUAGGGGCGAAAUCCUUUGAUCCCCGGAGGACCACCAGUGGCGAAGGCUGCUGACUAGAACACGUCUGACGGUCAGGGACGAAAGCUGGGGUAGCGAACCGGAUUAGAUACCCGGGUAGUCCCAGCCGUAAACGAUGCAUGCUAGGUGUUGGGUUGGCCACGAGCCACCCCAGUGCCGCAGGGAAGCCGUUAAGCAUGCCGCCUGGGAAGUACGAUCGCAAGGUUGAAACUUAA